CCUACGGGAGGCAGCAGGGGGGAAUAUUGGACAAUGGGCGAAAGCCUGAUCCAGCCAUGCCGCGUGUGUGAAGAAGGCCUUUUGGUUGUAAAGCACUUUAAGCGAGGAGGAGGCUACCGAGAUUAAUACUCUUGGAUAGUGGACGUUACUCGCAGAAUAAGCACCGGCUAACUCUGUGCCAGCAGCCGCGUAAU
rnacentral:rRNA from 1 species